GUUUUACAUGUGUGCACCCUUUAAAUUAUUGCUUUUUAUAUGAAGGAAAAAGAUGAGAAGCAAUAACUUCAUUUAAUGUUGUUUUUUUUUGUAUUUUUGUACAUGUAUAUACUAUUUUGAAUGACACUUAAGAAAAGCAUAUAUUUAUGUUCAAUAAGACAAUAACGUGAUUGAAACACUAAAACGCAAUUGAAUGUUAAUGUUAUAUCUUUAAUGUGUUAUCCAUUAAUUAUUUUUCCAUUGUAAAAUUUAGAUGCAGUCUAACUUCCAAAACUAUUAUAUUAAAAGUGUUAAAACAACAAGUAAGUUAGUAAGGUCUAGUUAUGAUAUCAAUUUAAGAAGUUCUUCUUGAUUUCCUUGAUUUACAAAUCGGGGUGGUGAGAUUUCGAAAAUUCAACAGUAACAGGUUAUUUAGGUUUAGGAAUAGAAGUAAUUAUUCACUUUCUUAUUUCAAAUGUUAUCUGUAGAAUUUCCUACCAAUUGUGCUCUAUUAAAACAAAUUAGAUCCUCUGUUGUUUAACUUUGACACACAAUUUUAAAAGUUAAACAAUCGAAUAACCCCCAAUUAAAACCGACACAUGUGUGAUCAGAAGAAAUCGUAGAACAAAGAAAGAAAUACAUGUUACCCGAUGCAGGUGCUAAACUAUUUGUUUUUACUUUAAAUAAUACUAUUGGGCAAAGUCUAAUUUCGUAACAGUUUUUUAAUAUGAAAAUGGUCCGAGAAAAAUUAAAAGAAUCCCACUUGCGUUUUCUCAAUGAAAUUUUUAUAGUGUGUUGUACUACUUUUGGGAUAAAUUGUAUCAAAAUUAUAGAAAACGUCAUCGGCUCUAACUCAAAAUAUGGACAAUUUUAUGUUUAGGGCGUCUUGAAAUCUUUUGACAGCUUCCGAAGUUCUAAUUGUUAACCUUUUCCAGCUUGACCAAAUCACUACAUACCUUUAAAAAUAUGGACCAAAAUUUGUUUAUAGUGUAAUUUCACCCCCUACUUGCAAUUUGAUGCAUUAAACAUAGAAAAAUAAAUUUUGAAAGGAUACAAAAAAUAAUGGCAAGUAACCCACAGUCAACACUAGGGACUAUAUUCGUGGACAACGAAAAUCAAGGGACGACAUAAUGCCAUCAGUCCCAUGCGUUCAAAACUUCAGAGGUAAAAUCUCAUUUGAUAUGUGAAUGCAUAUUGUUUGUAAAUAGAGGCAACAGUAGUAUACCGAUGUUAACGUUCAAUCGAUAGAAAAAAACAAAUCCGGGUCAAAAUCCAAUACCGAGGAAAACAUUAAAUGGACGAAUGUUUACUAUUGCAGAUGAACAUAUCAUUAAACAGAACACACACUAUAGAAAAACAUUCACAAAUCAUCAGGACUUAUAAUAGAAGCCAGUCAUUGCUUACUUUCAGAUAUCGGAACGUUAUACUUUACAAGUCGCUAGCACGAUUUAUAGGAGAUCAACCUUAUCAACCACCAAUAGCUUACUUCUCCGAUGUACAAACAUGGCAAUAAAAUACAAAGAACAAACGGUUUGUUUUUAGAAGACAAAAAAUCCUAUAUGCACCACUAAAAACAGUCACCCUACACAACAUCUGACUGAAAAUAAAGUAAAACGAAAUCUAGAUUGUGUGUUUAUUUUUAAUCAAGUAUGUAUUCAAAGGUAUUACAUUAAUGCUAUUUAGAUAAUAGCUAAACUGUACGGAGAUUUGAGUGAAGGAUUCAAAAUAGAAAGACACAAUUUCAACACAUGUUUGGACAUAGUCUACUAAAACCGCAAGGUUCCAUAAGUAUGUA
rnacentral:lncRNA from 1 species